rnacentral:antisense_RNA from 1 species
GAAAGAGAAAUGGCUGCCCCUGCACCACUUACCGCAAAGGAGGCUCAAGGCUGGGGGGCCCCUCUGCCUUCCAGUGACGGCCCGUGCCACAUCCUAACCCACUCAGCAGGAGAACACAGCAGGUCCCUCCGACCGCAGUCGGCCUCUCCAGCCUGUCAUGCCUCUGGCCAUGAGGCGACCCGCUGGAGUGAUGGAUUCGGGUCCCUCCCACCCACAGGGCGAGGGGGUGCAUUGGUCUGCUUGGGCCGCUGGAACAAAAUGCCACAGCCUGGGCGAGUGACUGACAUUGCUUCCCCACUGCUCUGGAGGCUGGAGGCCGGAGAUCGAGGUCCCUGACACUAUUUCGGUGAUGCCGGAGCCCAGGAGGAGUCCACCAAGCCCCAGCGUGGCCAUAAGCACCUUCGCAGGACCACGGAGUCGCUGCAGGUGUUCAGCCCUGUUGAGAGUGGCAGUCGGUGUCGAUGGUCACAUCUCAGUAACUCAUCGUCACCAGCGAGUACCACAGAGCAGACACAACCGCGCUUCUCUGUAGAGCCUCCAGUCGAUGCUGAGAGCCACUGGGGCGUCUGACACCCAAGGGUGCAGAGACGUUCACUCAGACUAAGUCCAGAGACCGCGCCCUUUCUAAGGCCCUGACUCACAGCCACCCCAUGCUCAUUGUGCCGGAUGUUUCCACAGCCACAAAGACCGUACGUGAAGGUGG